GUGGUCCCACGAAACUGGGUCUCUUCACAGACAGACCCACAGUUCGCGAGCAUGGCUCAGCGCUGCCCCGCUUCUCCCAGCGCCCCUUCCCGACCUUUGAACGCCUUCACCGCCCUAGGAAAGCGAGAUCUUGUCAGAGAACCUUCCGGCGCCUGUUUCCUGGCAGUGGGGCAUAGUCCAACAGCUGGCUCCCCCAAGAUAGCCAGCGGCCAUUACGCGCUUGGGUCGGGGGAGAUGGAGUCGCAUUUAGCCGCACAGCAGCCUGGAACCUGAAGUUUUCGGCCGCUGAGCGUUCUGGGUGAUUGCGUAGUGCGAGGGCCAACGAAACCUUCUGGGAAGUGUAGUCCAGCAAGCCGCUCACUUUUCGUGAGGCGUCACAUCCUGCUGCUUCACCCUCUGGUGCACGGGAGGACCAACUAUUUCAGUCGACACGAGUGAAAUUUGGUGCCAUGACUCAGAUCGGGGGACUUCCCUUGGGAGAUCAAUCCCCUGUCCUCCUGCUCUUUGCUGCGUGAGAAAGAUCCACCUAUGACCUCGGGUCCUCAGACCAACCAACCCAAGGAACAUCUCACCAAUUUUAAAUCGGAUCUUGGCUUAGUGGCUGAAGACUGAUGCUCCCCGAUCACCUCAGAAGCUUCCUGGACCAUCACAGACACUUUGGGUAACUCUUACAGUGGAGGGUAAGUCCAUCCCCUUCUUAAUCAUUACAGAGGCUACCCACUCCACAUUACCUUCUUUUCAAGGGCCUGUUUCCCUUGCCUCCAUAACUGUUGUGGGUAUUGACAACCAGGCUUCUAAGCCUCUUAAAACUCCCCAACUCUGGUGCCAGUUUGGACAAUAUUCUUUUAUGCACUCCUUUUUAGUUAUCCCUGCCUGCCCAGUUCCCUUAUUAGGCCGAGACAUUUUAACUAAAUUAUCUGCUUCCUAUGCUACAGCCACACCUCAUUGCCACCCUUUUCUCCAGUUCAAAGCCUCCUUCACAUCCUGCUCUUGUAUCUCCCCAUUUUAAUCCACAACUAUAGGAUACCUCUACUCCCUCCUUGGUGACCGAUCAUGCACCCCUUACCAUCCCAUUAAAACCUAAUCACCCUUACCCCACUUAAGGCCAAUAUCCCAUCCCACAGCACACUUUAAAAGGAUUAAAGCCUGUUAUCACUUGCCUGUUACAACAUGGCCUUUUAAAGCCUAUAAACUCUCCUUACAAUUCCCCCGUUUUACCUGUCCUAAAACCAGACAAGCCUUACAGAUUAAUUCAGGAUCUGCACCUUAUCAACCAAAUUGUGUUGCCUAUCCACCCCAUGGUGCCAAACCCAUAUACUCUCCUAUUCUCAAUACCUCCCUCCACAACCCGUUCUGUUCUAGAUAAACCUAGCUGACCCCAUAAAUCCUAAAUCCUUUCCCCACUCCCCUUUCCAUUCCUUAAAAAACAGCCCUAAAAGCUGCUCCCACACUAGCUCUCCCUAACUCAUCCCAACCCUUUUCAUUACACACAGCUGAAGUGCAGGGCUGUGCGGUCAGAAUGCUUACACAAGAGCUGGGACUGCACCCUGUAGCCUUUUUAUCCAAACAACUUGACCUUACUGUUUUAGUCUAGCCCUCAUGUCUGCAUGCAGCUGCUGCCACUGCCUUAAUACUUUUAGAGGCCCUCAAAAUCACAAACUAUGCUCAACUCACUCUCUACAGUUCUCAUAACUUACAUAAUCUAUUUUCUUCCUCACACCUGAUACAUAUACUUUCUGCCCCCUUCCACUACCUCUCAGCAAGCCGAACUCAUUGCCUUAACUUGAGCCCUCACUCUUCCAAAAGGACUGCACGUCAAUAUUUAUACUGACUCUAAAUAUGCCUUCCAUAUCCUGCACCACCAUGCUGUUAUAUGGGCAAGAAGAGGUUUCCUCACUAUGCAAGGGUCCUCCAUUAUUAAUUCCUCUUUAAUAAAAACUCUUCUCAAGGCCGGUUUACUUCCAAAGGAAGCUGGAGUCAUUCACUGCAAGGGCCGUCAAAAGGCAUCAGAUCCCAUUGCUCAGGGCAACGCAUAGGCUGAUAAGGUAGCUAAAAAAGCAGCUAGUGUUCCAACUUCUGUCCACCCCCAAAAUUUUUGCUGCCCCAACACUUCAAUACUAUUUUAUGUGAUUUUUCUUAUUAAUAUAAGAAGACAGGAAUGUCAGGGCUCUGAGACCAAGCUAAGCCAUCAUAUACCCUGUGACCUGCUUGUAUACAUCCAGAUGGCCCAAAGUAACUGAAGAAUCACAGAAGAAGUGGAAAUGGCCUGUUCCUGCCUUAACUGAUGACAUUACCUUGUGAAAUUCCUUCACCUGGGUCAUCCUGGCUCAAAAGCUCCCCCACUGAGCACCUUGUGACCCCCACCCCUGCCAGUCAAAGAACAACCCCCUUUGAGUGUAAUUUUCCACUACCUACCUAAAUCCUAUAAAACGGCCCAACCCCUAUAUCCCUUUGCUGGCUAUAUCCCUUCACUGGCUCUCUUUUUGGACUCAGCCUGCCU
ensembl:lncRNA CCDC90B-AS1 CCDC90B antisense RNA 1